rnacentral:tRNA from 1 species
GCGGAAAUAGCUCAGUUGGUAGAGCGACAGCUUCCCAAGCUGUAGGUCGCGGGUUCGAACCUCGUUUUCCGCUCAA